UAAUUAUACCUAUGUACUUUUCUAAACUUCAAAAAUAUCUAAUUUAUUUUUACUUUUUUUGUUUCCAGUAUACUCCUUAUAUGUUCUUUCGUAAUUCAAAAAUAUUCUUGAAGUUACCACCUGUUAAGUUAGCUCAGGUUAAACGUAAGCUAAAUGUCUACCAAAGUUAUAGAAAAAAAAAAUCAAAAUACCUUUUUUGAUCUUAAUUUAAGGGCAAAUAAGAAAAGUUGGUAAUAAUAGAGAGUAUAUUUGAAAAGAUAAAAAAUUAAAAUACUUCUUUUGCCCCUAAUUUAAGAAUAAAUAACAAAAGUUGGUAAUUAUAGAAGGAUAUAUUUGAAAUGGCAAAAUAGUAAUUUCACAGAGAUAACGACUAUUGCUACUUUAGGGUAUAUUUUUGAAAUAAUUCGGAACGUAAAUAAGAUAUUUUUAAUAUUAGCCUUCUAAGAGAGGUAAAAAUCGAAAAUUUGGAAACUUUUCAGAAGUACAUAAGCAAUUGCUCCUACAUUUAUUAUUUCAUGUCUUGAAAUAAAAAUCUAAUAUAAUAAUAAUU
rnacentral:lncRNA from 1 species